rnacentral:sRNA from 1 species
AUUAGUGCAGAGUUUUCUGGUUUCCCUUUAAAGAGAAGGCACAGCCAUUUGACUCUUGAGCUUAUUUAAACAAGUCACCAGUCCUUGACUCCAGAACUAAAGCCUUAUAUGUUCUUUCUGUUUGGCUGAGCCAGUAAUUAUUGAUCACUUCUUCUUCCCAAGAGAUGACACAGGCUGUCCUAGCAGCCAGUCAGUGUCUCCUGUGAAGACACCCUCAGACGCUGGAAACAGUCCCAUUGGCUUUUGCCCUGGAAGUGAUGAAGACUUCACCAGAAAGAAAUGCACGAUUGGAAUGGUUGGUGAAGGAAGCAUUCAGUCCUCUCGAUAUAAGAAGGAAUCAAAGUCAGGCCUUGUGAAACCAGUCGAGGUCCUCAUGGGCGGAGUAAUGGAGCUUCGUCGCACAAGCCUGGCAGCAGCCCAUCAUCCCCGCGGGAAAAGGACCUUCUGUCCAUGCUGUGCAGGAAUCAGCUGAGCCCUGUCAAUAUCCAUCCCAGUUAUGCACCUUCUUCCCCAAGCAGUAGCAACUCAGGCUCCUACAAAGGAAGCGACUGUAGCC